rnacentral:rRNA from 1 species
AUGGCCCUCCGGCCUCAAGAUCCGCGCGGCCUCGCCGGCGAGGUCGGCCGGGCGCUUGGACGAGUCGAGGGCGCGGCCGGCGAAGACGAAGUCGACGGAGGAGGACUCGAACGGCAGGCGGCGGUCGUCACCGGCGACGGCGAGCGGCGGGGAGCGCCUCCUCGCGACGGCGACGGCGCCGGCCACGCCGAGCUCCCGCAGCGCGAGCGCCUGCUGGGCCCCGCCGAGGCAGACGGCGCGGGAGGACGACGCCAGGAGGCCGUCGGCGAGGUGCCGCCCGAGGACCCCGGCGUGGAACUCCACCGCCUGGCGCCACUCGUGGCUGCGCCACGCCUCCGGCGUCCCCGCGGCCGCCGCGGCCUGGGCGUGGGUCCUCCUCCCGACCACCGCGGUGGACGGCACGGCCGGGUCGGGCGCCCACCCGCCGCCCACGGUCAGGAACGCCCCGUACAGCAGACGCAGCGCGAGCGCGGCGACGCCGAGGAGGAGCGCGCGCGUCAGGAGCCCCUUCCCGUGCCACUUCCUCGCCGCCGGCUCCAUGCCGGUCCGGGCUACACCAGCCGCCCCUUGCCCGCGAAUCUAGCGGCGGGGCCGGUCGGCCAAUCAGACGAUGGUCUCGUGGGGAAAAUUCCGGCGUGCGUGCGCGCGUGGGGGCUAACGGGCGCAGAAGCGGGCGGAGGUGUGGUUGGCGCCGACGAGGGGGAGGCCUGGGGGCGUGGGCUGGAAGAAGCGGGGCGCGGGGGGCGGGUAAUUGGGGAGGGUGGGAGGCUCCAUGGUUGGUUAUUCGUGGUGGACGGCCGCCGCUCCCAUCGGAAAUUCGGGGGCGAGCGGCGACGGCGAAGGUGGGUGGAGGAAGGUAUAGGAGUUGGAUUGGGCGUGUCGCUUUUCUCGGCGGGUAUGGUGGGCCCGGAUUUGCGCCGCCGAGUUAGGGGGGCCGGGGUUGCCCGGAAUUUACGACGAGCGGCGCUCGACCGGUCUCUCGCGGUGCUUCCAAAAAUAAAUCGGAGUCGGUGGAAAAUAAAGAUCGUCCAAAAGGAGUACUCCGUAGAAAAUAAAUGUGCGAUGAUCUUAUGUGUAUCUCUCUCAUUUACUCUUUUGUAG